ACAAAAAAAAAAAAAAAAAAUUGAAGGGUGCAAUAAAAAAAAGAUCAUAGAUGCAAUAGUCUUUUUUUAAUUAGAUUAAGCCAUUAAGGGCAAAUUUAUAUAUCUGGCCAAAAUAAAAAUCCAAGGUCUCAAUAAGUCAAAAUAAAAGUUGAAGGGCUUAAGGUUUUUCCAUUGAAGUUCAAGCUCUUUUAUAUGGAUUUUGCCUACUAAAUGUUGGUCAAAGUAGAUUAUUCAUUCUAACAGCUCGUUGAUGAAGGUGUCAAUCAAGGGAGAAGUUACUAUUCUUAUUUUGGCACUGUUUUAUGUUGUUUAUAAGUUCUCACUUCAUGCUUGAUUCUAAGUUUGGUGAGCUGAGGCUCAAAGUGUAAUGACAUAGUA
rnacentral:misc_RNA from 1 species